UAGGCCCAUAUAAAUGUAUGGUCAUGACACUAGGCCCAUAUUGAAGUAUGGUCAUGACACUAGGCCCAUAUUAAAGUUGGGUUAAGAUACUUGGCCCAUAUUAAGGUAUGGUCAUUGCACUAGGCCCAUAUUGAAGUAUGGUCAUGACACAAGGCCCAUAUUGAAGUAUGGUCAUGGCACUAGGUCCAUAUUGAAGUAUGGCCAUGACACUAGGCCCAUAUUGAAGUAUGGUUAUGACACUAGGCAUAUAUUGAAGUAUGGUAACACUAGGCCCAUAUUGAAUAAUGGUCAUGUCACUAGGCCCAUAUUGAAGUAUGGUCAUGACUCUAGGCCCAUAUUGAAGUAUGGUUAUGACACUAGGCCCAUAUUGAAUAAUGGUCAUGUCACUAGGCUCAUAUUGAAGUAUGGUCAUGAUACUAGGCCCAUAUUGAAGUAUGGUCAUGAUACUAGGCCCAUAUUGAAGUAUGGUCAUGACACUAGGCCCAUAUUGAAGUAUGGUCAUGACAGUAGGCCCAUAUUGAAGUAUGGUCAUGACACUAGGCCCAUAUUGAAGUAUGGUCAUGACACUAGGCCCAUAUUGAAGUAUGGUCAUGACACUAGACCAUAUUACUAGUAACUGAUUUCAGUUGCAUGACUACACUAGGAAUCAUUUCAAGCUGUAAUACAACUUGAGCAGCUAGAUAUUCCAGCUAAAUAACACUGAACAAAAGUCUUUUGAAUAUUUUUAUUAUAUUAUGUGUUUUAACAGCAAAGUGAUAGUUGCAAACAAAAACAACAACACGAUUGAUCAUUCAAAUCUAGAUCUGUGAUUUUACAUCAAAGUAUUAGUUGCUAAUAUAUUCAAUUAAGAACAUGAUUGAUAAAUCCAUUAUAAAGCCUUUUUACUUCUUACAACACAUUUUUAAACAUUUUAUUUCAUACAAUACCCAAUACAUGUAGCUCUAGCUGUAUUAAGUAAGUUGUCUGAGAUCAGCAUCCUUGCCAUUGCUUGUGCUUGUCAGAGUGUCUGACAUAUUAUUUUGUUUACAAAUUGUUUGUAUUGUCGGAGCAAAUAAAUAUAAAAUAUUGUUAGCAAUACUUAGUUGAGCAUUAUCAUGAUAUGCAAAAAUUAUUUCUGUCACUUUUGCAGUGUCCCCAUCCACCUUUCAUGCAAUCUGGAUGUAAGGUAUCUGAGUAUGAACUUUAUCACAAAAGUUUAUUUCAUUUUUUGUACUAGUUCUGCAGAAUAAUUGUUUCCUUAUUAGUGACAUCCUCCCCAUUCUUUCUAUAAGCACCCAAAUAUCAGUGUGUUGGCCAUAAGUUUGAUACUGUUUGGUACGUUUGUCACCAUUGAGAUAAUAAAUACUGCAGU